rnacentral:rRNA from 1 species
UACAGAGGGUGCGAGCGUUAAUCGGAAUUACUGGGCGUAAAGGGCGCGUAGGCGGUUAUUUAAGUUAGAUGUGAAAUCCCUGGGCUUAACCUAGGAACUGCAUCUGAUACUGGAUGGCUGGAGUGUGGUAGAGGGUAGUGGAAUUUCCGGUGUAGCGGUGAAAUGCGUAGAUAUCGGAAGGAACACCAGUGGCGAAGGCGGCUACCUGGACCAACACUGACGCUGAGGCGCGAGAGCGUGGGUAGCAAAC